UCGCCUUUCUAUCCGACCGUUGUAGAGGCCGGUGGGUACUGGAUGUUUCUUAAUUCUUUUGGUGGCGAGUGCUGAGUGGGACCUAGGUUAACUACGAUUCAGUCUCUGCAAACGUUACUAUCCUCAAUUAUAAGAGCGUUGUGUCUGAAGCUGGGAGAAGCAUUUCAAUGGAGUAUGAGGUGAAGGCUGUGGGAGGGAUAGAGAGCUGCUUUGUUUCUCUCCCUCUAUCUUUCAUCCAAACUCUUCAGUCGACUCGUUCUGGGCCUCUUCCUCCUGUUCUCGCUCUCGAACUCCGGUCUCGCGACAACAAUCUAUGGCACGUAGCAUGGUCUGGCUCUUCUUCGAUGUCUUCGGCAAUUGAGGUUGCUCAACAACUGGCAGAGUGUAUUUCUGUACCAGAUGGUAUUACGGUGCAGGUGAGAGCUGUUGCUAAUUUGCCAAAAGCUACACUAGUUAUGAUAGAACCCAAUAGUGAGGAUGAUUGGGAAGUUCUGGAGCUCAACUCAGACCAUGCAGAGGCAGCUUUUUUGAAACAGGUUGGUAUAGUCUAUGAAGGAAUGAGAUUCCCUUUAUGGUUGCAUGGUCGCAAUAUCAUUAUGUUUCUUGUGGUUUCGACCUUUCCUAAGAAAUCGGUAGUGCAACUUGUGCCAGGAACUGAAGUUGCAGUUGCACCAAAGACACGAAAGAAACAUGUUGAUUCCUACCAGGAUUCCUAUAAGAAAGCUUUAAACAAAGAACACUCAAGUACAAAGGCACUAUUACGUGUUCAAGAUCCAGGCAAAGGAUUAUUUCAGACGUUUGAAGUAAAAGGGAUUAAGCUGGGGGUUGCACUCACUUCUAUUGUUUUUAUUCAUCCGGAAACAGCUAAAUGUGCACCGUUUGAUAAUUUUCAGUUGGUUACUAUAUUGCCUAAAAUACCACCCAAUGAGAACCCAAAGGAUCAUAAAAUCAAUGCUCUAAGGAAAAGGAGCAGUUCAACUGCUAAGGAAGGAAACCAAGGGGAACCAAUAGACAAGGAUUCUCCUAGACAUGUAGUUACUCAUCUUUUGCUUUCAGAUUUGGUAGCUAAGGGGCAUGUCAUGCUUCCUAAAUCUCUUCGUCUCUAUCUAAAAGUGGGCCUGCACUCAUGGGUUUAUGUUAAGAAAUGCAAUUUUUGUCCAAGGCAGGAUAUUCCUUCAUUUAUACUUUCUCCUUGCCAAUUUAAGAUGCCGGUGAAGGAUAAGACUAUUAAGGAACUUGAGAGUCAUGGAAGCCUUUCUACAAUGAAUGGCUCUCUCACGACUAGCUUGGGUGACAACAUAAAUGAUGUGGAUUGGUCAGUUAAUGAAGAUUUUGUUACUAGUCUUUCUUCUGGAUCUUCUAAAUAUGCAAAUGAAGACCUUGUAUCACAGACCCCUAUCAAAAGUGGAGCACAAAGUCUUCUUCAUGCAUGGUUCAUUGCACAAAAGGAGGGGAUUGCCUCGAAUUCCGGAGUAGUUGUAAGUUCAUUGGUUCUGGGAAAUGAAACCUUUCUUCACUUUGAAGUGAUGGGUCAUGAGUUUGGGAAUCCUGGAAAGGAACAAGCAUCAUCUGGCAGUGUGUUAACGAAGAGAGAAAAUACUGGAGAAUGUCCAAUUGAACUCAUAUAUUUAUUGACAGCAUUUCAGGAAUCUUCUUAUAACAGUCAGGCUAGUGUUUAUGAGGUUGCCUUCAAUGAGGAAAAUAUGAAAAUUGAUAACCUUGGAGGCUUAAAAUUAUUUGAUGGAAAGUUGGAUUUUGGUGCUCCUAUAUUUAUUGAAUAUGUUAAGGAGAGAACCAUUAACAAAAGCUUCAGUUCCACCAUUUCUUCCUUGAGCUGGAUGGGGACAAUUACGUCUGAUGUUAUUAACCGGUUGAAAGUUCUUUUGUCUCUGGCUUCUGGGAAGUUUUUUGGCACUCACAAUCUUCCUUUCCCUGGACAUGUUCUCAUAUAUGGACCUCCGGGUUCUGGGAAAACAUCACUAGCCACAGCCGUUGCAAAAUUCUUUGAAGAGCAUGCAGAGAUCUUGGCACACAUUGUUUUUGUAAGCUGUUCCAAUCUGGCUCUAGAGAAGACACAGACUAUUCGGCAAUCACUUUCUGGCUACAUAUCUGAAGCUCUGGAUCACACACCUUCUCUUGUAAUAUUUGAUGAUCUUGAUAGUAUUGUCUCAUCUUCUGACUCUGAGGGAUCUCAACUUUCAAGUUCAACUGUAGCACUGGUGGAAUUUCUCACUGAUAUGAUGGAUGAAUAUGGGGAAAAGAGGCACUGUUCAUGUGGAAUUGGGCCAAUUGCGUUUUUGGCAUCUGCACAAUCUCUUGGAAAUUUGCCACAAUCCUUUAGCUCUUCAGGGAGGUUUGAUUUCCAUGUGCAACUCCCUUCUCCUGCUGCCUCAGAACGGACAGCUAUAUUGAAGCAUGAAAUUCAUAAACGCUCCUUAAGAUGUUCUGAUGAUAUCCUGUCAAAUAUUGCUUCAAAAUGUGAUGGAUAUGAUGCAUAUGAUUUGGAAAUACUGGUUGAUAGAGCUGUCCAUUCUGCCGUUGGUCGCUAUUUAUCUUCUCAUUCUUCUUUAGAGGAUCAUGAAUGGCCUGUUUUAAUGACAAAUGACUUUUCACAAGCAAUGAAAGAUUUCCUCCCAGUUGCUAUGCGGGAUAUUACUAAAUCUGGUUCUGAAGGUGGUCGUACUGGGUGGGAGGAUGUUGGUGGGCUUAGUGACAUUCGAAAGGCUAUUCAGGAGAUGGUUGAACUGCCCUCACAGUUCCCAAACAUCUUUGCACAUGCUCCUUUAAGGUUGAGGUCAAAUGUUCUUUUAUAUGGUCCUCCUGGAUGUGGAAAGACACAUGUUGUUGGUGCUGCUGCUGCUGCUUGUUCUUUACGAUUUAUAUCAGUGAAAGGGCCUGAACUGCUGAACAAAUACAUUGGUGCUUCUGAGCAAGCUGUUCGAGAUAUAUUUUCAAAAGCAGCUGCUGCAGCUCCUUGCCUUCUAUUUUUUGAUGAGUUUGAUUCUAUUGCACCAAAGAGAGGGCAUGAUAAUACUGGAGUUACUGAUCGUGUUGUAAAUCAACUGCUGACUGAACUGGAUGGUGUUGAAGUCCUGACAGGAGUUUUUGUUUUUGCUGCUACUAGUCGACCAGAUUUACUUGAUGCUGCACUCCUGCGACCUGGAAGGCUUGAUCGCCUUCUUUUCUGUGAUUUCCCAUCAUGGCACGAGAGGGUAGAUAUUCUAACAGUUCUUUCUAGAAAGCUUCCACUGGCUGGUGACAUUGAUUUGAAUGCAAUAGCUUCUAUAACUGAAGGGUUUAGUGGUGCGGAUCUCCAAGCUCUUCUUUCAGAUGCACAGCUUGCAUCAGUUCAUGAGCUUCUGGAAAACAGUGAUAGUGGUACACCCGGAAAAAUGCCAGUCAUCAGUAACACCCUUUUGAAGUCUGUUGCUUUGAGGGCAAAGCCAUCUGUUUCAGAAGCUGAGAAGCAACGGCUGUAUGGCAUUUACAGUCAAUUUUUGGAUUCAAAAAAGUCUGUUGCUACACAGUCAAGGGAUGCAAAGGGGAAAAGGGCAACACUGGCAUAACAGCACAGCAUGUAAAUCCAAAUAAUCCUUAACCCCUUUUUCAACAAGGAAAAAUCAGUUCCAUGGACAAAAAGGAGGUCGUUGGCAAAGAUUUGUCAUUGGUAGAAGAGUUCAGAUAUGGCAUUUCCAUGUAUUAUGGGAUGUUUUGUGUAUUCUUUUUUCACCUUUUUAUUCAUAUUAAGUGCAGGAAAAAGAUCAUUAAUCAAAUGGCAUCACGAGAUUGAUGUCGUAUGUUGUAAAGUUUCUGAGAAAGGAUGUCAUCAAGUAACGAGAAAGGUCAAGUAAAAAUCUUCUAGUUGAUGGAGGAUUUAGCUUUUGUUUUUCUUAACCUUAAAUUUACUUAUUCUUGUAAUAUUGAGCUAAAGGUUUUUUUGUC